GGUUCCAUAGUGUAAUGGUUAGCACCCUGGACUUUGAAUCCAGUAAUCUGAGUUCGAAUCUCGGUGGAACCA
rnacentral:tRNA from 7 species